rfam:Roseburia sp. 40_7 Ley3_66761_scaffold_12506, whole genome shotgun sequence.
AUCAAAAAUAGAGGCGCGGUUUACCGGGUAGCAGCAAAUGAUAAGGAACAUUAUUUCCGAGGUUGCCUGUGAAGGGGGAAAUCGCCGAAAGACCGGAUCUAUAAUGGGAGAAGGACUUGGGGCAAAGGCACACUGCUUUUGCACUGUCAUGUGAAAACAUGGGGCGCUAUUCAUCAG